rnacentral:rRNA from 1 species
GAUGAACGCUGGCGGCGUGCCUAAUACAUGCAAGUCGAGCGGAAGGACCAUGAGCUUGUUUCUUUGAUGUUUGCCGCGGAGGGGUGAAUCACACGUGGAUAACCCACCUAUAAGACUGGGAUCAUCUCGGGAAACCGGAUCUUAUACCGGAUAAUAUUUUGCACCGCAUUGGUCCAAGGUGAAAGACGGUGUUUCGGUCUCUUAUAGAGGGUUCCGCGCUGCAUUAGCUAGUUGGUAAGGUAACGGCUUAUCAAGGCAACGAUGCGUAGCCGACCUGAGAGGGUGAUCGGCCACACUGGAACUGAGACACGGUCCAGACUCCUACGGGAGGCAGCAGUAGGGAAUCUUCCGCAAUGGGCGAAAGCCUGACGGAGCAACGCCGCGUGAGUGAUGAAGGUCUUCGGAUCGUAAAACUCUGUUAUUAGGGAAGAACAUAUGUGUAAGUAACUGUGCACAUCUUGACGGUACCUAAUCAGAAAGCCACGGCUAACUACGUG